rnacentral:rRNA from 1 species
GGCGUGCUUAACACAUGCAAGUCGAACGGUGAACACGGAGCUUGCUCUGUGGGAUCAGUGGCGAACGGGUGAGUAACACGUGAGCAACCUGCCCCUGACUCUGGGAUAAGCGCUGGAAACGGCGUCUAAUACUGGAUAUGUGACGUGACCGCAUGGUCUGCGUUUGGAAAGAUUUUUCGGUUGGGGAGGGGCUCGCGGCCUAUCAGCUUGUUGGUGAGGUAAUGGCUCACCAAGGCGUCGACGGGUAGCCGGCCUGAGAGGGUGACCGGCCACACUGGGACUGAGACACGGCCCAGACUCCUACGGGAGGCAGCAGUGGGGAAUAUUGCACAAUGGGCGAAAGCCUGAUGCAGCAACGCCGCGUGAGGGAUGACGGCCUUCGGGUUGUAAACCUCUUUUAGCAGGGAAGAAGCGAAAGUGACGGUACCUGCAGAAAAAGCGCCGGCUAACUACGUGCCAGCAGCCGCGGUAAUACGUAGGGCGCAAGCGUUAUCCGGAAUUAUUGGGCGUAAAGAGCUCGUAGGCGGUUUGUCGCGUCUGCUGUGAAAUCCCGAGGCUCAACCUCGGGCCUGCAGUGGGUACGGGCAGACUAGAGUGCGGUAGGGGAGAUUGGAAUUCCUGGUGUAGCGGUGGAAUGCGCAGAUAUCAGGAGGAACACCGAUGGCGAAGGCAGAUCUCUGGGCCGUAACUGACGCUGAGGAGCGAAAGGGUGGGGAGCAAACAGGCUUAGAUACCCUGGUAGUCCACCCCGUAAACGUUGGGAACUAGUUGUGGGGUCCAUUCCACGGAUUCCGUGACGCAGCUAACGCAUUAAGUUCCCCGCCUGGGGAGUACGGCCGC